CACCUCUCAGGGUUGCACCUGGAGAGUUUCCAGUACCUUACCAGUCUCAUCUAUGGGAGGGAGAGUCAAGCAGAGGGAUAUCUAUUCCAUCCCUGGCUUGGGCGGUGGCUAGUGAGUGGAAGAAAAUCUGCUACAAGU